rnacentral:rRNA from 1 species
UGGGGAAUAUUGGACAAUGGGGGGAACCCUGAUCCAGCGACGCCGCGUGAGUGAAGAAGUAUUUCGGUAUGUAAAGCUCUAUCAGCAGGGAAGAAAAUGACGGUACCUGACUAAGAAGCCCCGGCUAACUACGUGCCAGCAGCCGCGGUAAUACGUAGGGGGCAAGCGUUAUCCGGAUUUACUGGGUGUAAAGGGAGCGCAGACGGUUUUGCAAGUCUGAAGUGAAAGCCCGAGGCUUAACCUCGGAGUUGCUUUGGAAACUGUAUAACUAGAGUAGCGGAGAGGUAAGUGGAAUUCCUAGUGUAGCGGUGAAAUGCGUAGAUAUUAGUAGGAACACCGGUGGCGAAGGCGGCUUUUUGGCCUGCAACUGACACUGAGGCGCGAAAGCGUGGGGAGCAAACAGG